UACGUAGGGUGCGAGCGUUAAUCGGAAUUACUGGGCGUAAAGCGUGCGCAGGCGGUUCGUUGUGUCGGCGGUGAAAGCCCCGGGCUUAACCUGGGAAUGGCCGUCGAAACUGGCGAACUGGAGUGUGGCAGAGGGGGGUGGAAUUCCGCGUGUAGCAGUGAAAUGCGUAGAGAUGCGGAGGAACACCGAUGGCGAAGGCAGCCCCCUGGGCUGACACUGACGCUCAGGCACGAAAGCGUGGGAGCAACAGG
rnacentral:rRNA from 1 species